AGCAAAAAUGACAAUUUCACUUCCUACUACUUGACCGGUGGUUGUCUUAGCAACGCUUACACAGCACAGACACAACCGGAGGCAGCCGUUGGUGAGGACCAUAAACUGUGAUGGAGAACAAUACUUUGCACCAAGACCCAGAUGAUGCUCAAAGCUUGAUGGCCAAUGAAGACAUUAAAGAGGAGACAACAGUUCAAGCGGGAGGAGAAUCUGAAGAGGAUCGUGCAGAAGCUUCGGUUUCACCUGUAAAAGACAGAACGGAUGCAGAGAAAAACCUAGAAGAAAACAGAUCACACAGUACUCUGUCUGAAGCAGAUACGAAAGAGCAGUUUGUCUUUAAUGAAAAAGGCACACAGAUAUUGAUAAAUCCCACAAGGAGUAUAAACACGCAGACAGACGCCACACUGCAUUGCAGCUUCUCUUCUAAUGUUAAUCAGUGGGUGAUAUAUGAUGCUUACAAAAAAGAGCUUAAGAAAAGACAAGAGCAGGAGGGUGGACACCUACUCAAGGAAAAUAGUGACACGGGCAGAAAGAAAACACUGCUGAUGGAAACCAAGAUUGAUGAGCUUUCUAAAAUCCGUGAGUCAUGCAAGUUAAUGGAGCGAGCUGUCGUUCAAAAUAGCCUCUGUGACAUCGCAAUAGAUUUUAAAUUCUAUGAAGAUCCCUCUGAUGAGUUUAUAGGCCAUGAGGGAACCCUGAUGCCUUUGUGGAAUUUUCGGUACAAAGGAACCAAACACCUGACGGUUAGUGCCCUCUGCUGGAAUAGGCGAUACUUGGACAUGUUUGCUGUUGGAAUGGGAACUGAGGACUACUUUGAUCAGCAAUGUGGUGGCAUGGUUCUCAUCUACUCACUGAAGAACCCCACUUACCCAGAAUAUGCCUACAAAACAGCCUCUGGCGUCAGGUGUGUCGAUAUCCACCCGCAUAAGUCCUACUUGGUGGCAGCAGGCUUCUAUGACGGCAACGUGGCCGUCUACAACUUGAAGGUGGAGAAACUGAAGCCUGUGUGCGCGUCCAGUCCAGAAACUGGGAAGCACAUGGAUCCAGUCAUACAGCUGUGCUGGCAGAAAGAUGACAUUAACAACAACCACAAUUUCUACUCUGUGUCACUUGAUGGUCAAAUUGUAUCCUGGACGCUGGUUAAGAAUGAGCUGGUUUUUGCCGUCAAAACCAAACUGUCACUGCAAAACCCUUUCACUGAGGGAACAGGAAAUGAAAUCCUCAAAGAGGUCUUCUCCAAAGUUUCUUGCACAUCAAUUGACUUCCAUAAAGACAUUCCCAAUCUGUUCUUAGUUGGAACGCUAGAGGGAAUGAUACUAAAGUGUUCUAUGACAUACACCGGCCAUCCCAUGGAGGUCUAUGAUGCUCACCUGCUUUCAGUUGGAACUGUCAAAUGGAACCCUUUCCAUCCAAAAGUAUUCAUCUCUUGCAGUUGUGACAUGACAGUGAAGAUCUGGGACCACACUGUCACUACUCCAAUUUCCAACAUUGACCUAAAAGAACCUGUUGAGGAUGUUGCGUUUUCGCCACACACCUCCACUGUGUUUGCUGCUGUGACCAGAAGGGGAACAGUUUACUUUUAUGAUGUCAGCAUCAGCAUAUAUGAGGCUAUCUGCCAGCAGGAAGUGGUGAACAAAAGGAAAGGCCAGUUGACCAAACUGGAGUUCAAUCCAAUUCAUCUCAUCAUCAUAAUUGGGGACGGAAAAGGCUGCAUCCACAGUUUCAAACUGUCUCCAAACCUCCGCAAAAGACCCAAGAACAAGAAGGGACAGGAGAUCCCCAUAGAUCCACAAGAGGAAGUCGGCAAGUUGGAGAAAUUUCUCAUCUCCAGACUGAAUGCACGCCAAAGUGCACCAUGAUGCCGCUGCUCUGCCCACAACAGCAGUACGGCUGUGGCUGCAGGAGCUCCCCGCCAGCAGAGGUGGAGUAUCAGGGGGAGGAGCUGAUGUGAUGCAAGACGAUGUCAGUGGUGGUGGGGACAGAUUUUGGAAUCACAGAUCAAAAAACAGGGGUGUCCGGUCCUGAGGCCAUCUUUCCAGACUGUAACGCCACAUGAUUCUUCUUUUGUAUCUGGAUAAGCUUCUUUAUUUAAUGUUUGCUCUUCACACAUUUCAUUCAUUCCAAAAAGACUGUUAUGCUAUUUUUCGCUAAAGGUUCAAUCUCAGGACUUGAAAAUUUGUAUUAAAAUGACUGUAAACAUUUUGUUUUGACAACAUUUUGACAAAUAAAGCAGAUUUUCUCGAA